UGGGGAAUUUUGGACAAUGGGCGCAAGCCUGAUCCAGCCAUUCCGCGUGAGUAAAGAAGGCCUUCGGGUUGUAAAGCUCUUUCGCAAGGGAAGAAAACUUAGGCUCUAACAUAGCCUGAGGUUGACGGUACCUUGAUAAGAAGCACCGGCUAACUACGUGCCAGCAGCCGCGGUAAUACGUAGGGUGCGAGCGUUAAUCGGAAUUACUGGGCGUAAAGCGCGCGCAGGCGGUUUUGUAAGUCAGAUGUGAAAUCCCCGAGCUCAACUUGGGAACUGCGUUUGAAACUACGAGACUAGAAUAUGUCAGAGGGGGGUAGAAUUCCACGUGUAGCAGUGAAAUGCGUAGAGAUGUGGAGGAAUACCAAUGGCGAAGGCAGCCCCCUGGGAUAAUAUUGACGCUCAGGCAUGAAAGCGUGGGGAGCAAACAG
rnacentral:rRNA from 1 species